rnacentral:rRNA from 1 species
AUUGAACGCUGGCGGCAUGCCUUACACAUGCAAGUCGAACGGCAGCACGGGUGCUUGCACCUGGUGGCGAGUGGCGAACGGGUGAGUAAUACAUCGGCACAUGUCCUGUAGUGGGGGAUAGCCCGGCGAAAGCCGGAUUAAUACCGCAUACGAUCUACGGAUGAAAGCGGGGGACCUUCGGGCCUCGCGCUAUAGGGUUGGCCGAUGGCUGAUUAGCUAGUUGGUGGGGUAAAGGCCUACAAAGGCGACGAUCAGUAGCUGGUCUGAGAGGACGACCAGCCACACGGGGACUGAGACACGGCCCAGACUCCUACGGGAGGCAGCAGUGGGGAAUUUUGGACAAUGGGCGAAAGCCUGAUCCAGCAAUGCCGCGUGUGUGAAGAAGGCCUUCGGGUUGUAAAGCACUUUUGUCCGGAAAGAAAUCCUUGGCCCUAAGACGGUCGGGGGAUGACGGUACCGGAAGAAUAAGCACCGGCUAACUACGUG